rnacentral:lncRNA from 1 species
UGUCCCGCUCCGCGUAGAGAAACUCAGAUUCAACAGACGUAGAACUAGCCUCGGCUGCCACAGCUCCUCGGUUUCGCCUCGGAAUCGCUUCUCUAACUGAAACCCCCCCAGUACGGCCCGGGCCUUUAUAUAUUUCUCCGCCCCCUCGCAGUCGCCGUGCUGACUUCAGCGCGCAAACCACGCCCCUUCUUCCUCCUCUCACUCCCCUCCCCCCACCUCUGCUUGCAGCAAAAGAUAUCGCGGGGAGAACUCUACACUCCGCUUAAAGAGGUGGGGGGAGGGCCAAGACACCCCAAGGCUACCGCGAGAACUAGGCAGGCUGCGGGCCUCUCCCAAUCCAGGAGGCCUCUAGAUGGUAUCGCGAGGCUUCCCUAUACAAUGUUUAUGGCUCUGUUCACGCGAGAUUUGUCUCUACUUGCCUCCCCCCCCUCCAGGUUUCGUAAGAAUUCUGGCGAGUACCCUUCCCUCCUUGAUGACUUCAAGAUGUCGCGAGAUUUGUCUCCCCCCCCAAAAAAAAGCCUGCCGCUGCAACAGAAAGAGAUGGGGGGGUCCUUAGGUCACGUGAGCAUCCCUGCUGUGCCUUGGCGCCAUCUUAAGUGGGUUGCUGCUGUUGCCAUCAGCCACCAGGGAAGCUACUACGAAGCCAGUGCUGUCAUUAGGAGGUCUAGAAGGAUAUGAGGACGGGAAAAACAAGUAACCUUGAAAACAAACUCUUUAAAAUGUGAGUAAAAGCUGUAUUGGUGAGAUUUCUGAAGGGCUAUCAGUGGGAUGUGUGAUGAAAUAUCGUUGACAACGUGCGUAUUGCUCCUCUUAUAAUUUUAGUUUAUAAUUUUAAAAAUAUAUUUCACCUACCCCAGGGAGGGGAAAAAACCCUCUUAUCUUCAAUAGCUAGCUCAUUUCAAUAUUACACUUUGUUGUCAAUCAAUUAUUGCUCUUCCUUUCCUUCUACUGAAUUUCUUCAUAAGGAGAUUUUGAAAAAUGAAGUAGUAUAUACUGUGCAUCUCAAACUUUUUUCUUUCCUCAUAGGCAUCCUACAGUCUCGAGAGACUAUGGUAGCAUGCUCUGUAUGGAGGACUUGGAACAGCAUCUAGUGCUUUGACGCUGUACACGAAACUGGAGUGUUCUCUCCAGGGCACGAAGCCUAAGUAAAAUAAUAUGGAGGAUAGGCUGUUACCCAACAAGCAAAUCCCCCCUCUUCACGUCACUGAAAUAGUCCAAUGGAAAGGCAAGAGCCAAUACAGCUGGUUCCAGCAACGUCGCAGGAGUUGGCAGAACGACACGAACUGCCUCCAGGACUCCAGCUCCAGAUUUUUCCUUUCCUAUGUAUUUAGAAAAAGGAUUGAAAAUACAUACUUUCCCAAAACAUAAAAACACUACCAGCUCAAUUUU